rnacentral:lncRNA from 1 species
UUACAUACAAACUUCAAAAGAAACCAUUUAUUUCAUGAAAAUUGGAUACAACAAUAAUUAAAAGGGGCAAUUACUAGCCUCCAUUCCAACCAAAUAGAGUAAAAAAUACACUUCUUUUAAAAUAAGCAACUAGUAGUACUACAAGCAUACAAAUAACAAAAUACCAAACACAGAAAGAAACUAAUUUUGUCUUAAGCACAUUGGAAGUUCUUGGGUGCAUAUUUGCCACAAUUGUUGAGCAACAAGCUAAGGGAAAGUGGAACAUUUAGAUUAAUUCCCAACACAUUGGCUUUAAGGGCAGUGCAAAGGCAGACAGCAGCAUCAAGGUCAACAAGUCCUUCAAUUAAAGAGCAACAUUGAGUCUUGGCUGGACUACUUCCAACAACAAGGUGCAAUAAAUCACCCAAUAAAUUGGCACAAGCAUUUAGUUUUAGUGUGUCCUUUGGGCACUUACCCUUUGAUGAUGGGGUGGAGGGGGUAGGGGUAGGGUAGUGGGGUUUGGGGUGUGGGGGUGGUGGGCAUGGGGCAUUAGUGGAACUAACCAUAGUGAAAAAAAGAAUGUUCAAUGUGAGAACAAGGGCAAUUGAGGUUGCACCAAACUUAGACAUUUUUUCCAAACUUAAGAAAUUAAAAUUAGCACUCUCAACAAUUGAAUGUGGCUAAUUAGUUGUUUGCUUGGUGUUUGAAAAUGAAUGAAAUGAGUGGCUAUUUAUAGGUAAAAAUUUAUGAUUUUUAUUAUUAGAAAAUUGAAAGAGGGCCAUGUGGAUAGAGAAUAUUGUGUAGUCAAGCAGUUGGCAAAUCCAAAUUGAGAUACUACUACUAUUAUUGGAUUAUAAACUUACUAAAUUGUAUUUUUGUGGAUUUCAUUAGUUAUUAAUAAUAAAAUUAAUAAUAUAUGAUAUAUCUUCUUCCUCAGAGAUAAAUUACACAUCCUUUAUUUUCACAUGGGACUUACAUUAUUCUCUCUAAUUAUUUGAUCAAUAUUGUUCUUGAACAUGCACGACCUGGAUCCAUGCAUCAAGAUUAAUUCUAAGUUUGGAAGCUAGUAGUAAUUAAAGAAAUGCCUGUUAAUUUUUUGAGUUUAACUCAACUACAUUCCACAAAUUAUAGUCAUAGACUCUAUUUUAUGCCUUUAUUUUUCAAGAAUCAAAUUACAUGAAAUUUUGAUUAACACUAUAAAAUAUACUUUUUGUCAUGUUGAUAUGAGAAAAAUUAUAAUUUCGUAGUACUUUUUCUAUAGUUAUUGAAUAUCUAAAAUUUAAUUUUAAAAUAUUAAAUCAAUCUAAUUUAAUAAAGCUUUGAAGAAUCAAACUGAGUCUCGAAAAGAGAAAAUGUGAUAACUAUUUUGAGACGAAAAGCGCGUAAAAUAGUCGAUUAUCAUUAUUUUUCUCUUCUGUCGAGGAAAUUGUGUGGCCUAUAUAUGUUUAGUUUUUGAUCAAUGAUAUAUGAAUGAAGUCAAUUAUUAGUAGCACAAUAUGGAAAAAAUGAAGUUAUGAGGAAGACAAGUAAUAUUUUUUAGAGUCAAAGUGUGAAUACAGAUAGUAAGAUUCUCAAUUAACUUUAUAUCUAUUUUUAGCACUACAAUAUGUGUGGUAUACUUGUAUUGGUAGACCAAAAAAAUCAAAAAAACAAACGCAAAUAUUGACAAUUUAUUGUCAAAGAUGCUAAUAAAAUAUUAAAGUUACUAGAAAUUCAACGAAAUGCAUGCGAUUGGACAGUUUAAAAGGUUUGAUAUAUUUUUGAAUAUUACUCAUAUUUAUCUUUAUUAUUAUAUAACUUACAAGUACAUAUAUCAUUUUCUUCUGAUAGACGUGAAAAAAUUAAUUUUAACUCAAACUUUUAAUUACUUUUUGACAAAAAUAUAGUCCAUAUAUAUGGGUAUAUUUUGAUCCUCAUCACACAUAUUUUUUUUGAUUUUAUGUUUCAACUUCUAAUUUAAAUUUAUUAUUUUGAUAGUCAAAUUUAUUUAUGUUUCACUAAUUUUCUUGUAAGAUUUAUUAUAAAUGUCUAAUUUAAAUUUAUUAUUUUGAUGGUCAAAGAUAUAAAGUCAUCAUCAUAACUUUGCAAUUGUUCUAUUACUCCACUAAACAAUUUUGAACAUAUAUUAUUAUAUUAUUUUUUAUCCAUCCCAAAUUUUAUAAAGCAAGUGUAUUCACACGUCAAUCACAUGAUACUAAUAUGGAGUAACAAAUAAACAGCCUUAAUACAAUACAGAAAGAGAUAUAAUCAAAUAAUCUAAUUUCUUUAUAAUUCAUAAAUUUGUUAAAAACUCACGGGUAGAGGAAUCAAAAGUACACAUGUUAAAUUGUUUAACUAAAUAUCACAAGAACUAAAAUUAAAAUAUAACAAAUUAUUUGAGGGACUAAGAGUGAAAUUUUCCCUUUAGGUAAAUUAAGAAGAAGAAAAAAAUAGAAAGCAACGUACAAAUACUCAUCAAUUAUUACACAUCUUGAAAUAAAACUUAUAACAAUAUAGGAUUGUAUAAGUUCAAGAUCAAAUAUUAACAACUCGUAGACAAACUCAUGCUUAAGGAUUAUUUAUAGAGCCAGGAUUGGAAUUUAGAGUUUUAAAUUUUUAAGACGGAAGAUUAAGAUAUUGUAAAGUAUCCUUUAAAAAAAUUUUUUUUAUUGGUACGGGUUCGAACUUCGAACCCACAAUCAGGACGUAGCUAUACAGUCUUGGACAUUCUUCGUCAGAAAAUUAUAUCGUAUAUAUUACUAAAAUAAUAUACAAAGUGGUAAAAUAAUGUAUUCUGCAAAUCCUUAACACAACAAGGUGAGUUUCAAAUAUAGCUAGUAGCAACUUUAAGCCUUUUUUUUUCAAACUUUUUCAUGUAUAUUGCGUACUAUUUUACAAUAUAUUUUUUCAUGUACAUUACAUAUUUUUUUUUAAAAGAAAAUUUCAUAUAUAUUACGUAAUUUAAUUUUUAAAAUUUCUAAUGCCGUCAGACAGUUUUGUUAAUAAAUUCACUAGCGAAUAUACACACACAUAUAUAUAUCCAUCUUUUGACCUAAGCAAACUUUAAAUGGAUUAUGAUCUAUCCUUUUAUUAAUUUGACAGGUUUAAGUAAUUGGAGUAUAGCUUGAUUAACUCACACAUUUAAAUUUCAUUUGUCAAUCUUUUUCGAAGAGAAAAAGGUAAUAAUAAUUCCUUAUUUAAUAGAUGUCAAAUUUAUUACAAAUACAAAUAAUUGGAUACUUACUAAUAGUAAACAAAGGCUAACGAGCCUAGGCUUUCUUACUAUAAUAUAAAUAAUAAACACACAAAAAUAUAGAAGGAAAAAUAAAAUUGAAAAUAUCUAAAUAAUGGAAAAGCAAUAUGAUUUAUGCACAUUGGAAGUCCUUGGGUGCAUAUUUGCCACAAUUGUUGAGCAACAAGCUGAGUGAAAGUGGAAGAUUUAGAUUAAUACCCAACAAAUUGGCUUUAAGGGCAGUGCAAAGGCAAACAGCAGCAUCAAGGUCAACAAGUCCUUCAAUUAAAGAGCAACAUUGAGUCUUGGAUGGACUACUUCCAAUAAUAAGGUGCAAUAAGUCACCCAACAAAUUUGCACAAGCAUUUAGCUUUAGUGUGUCCUUUGGGCACUCACCCUUAGGUGAUGGGGUGGAGGGGGUAGGGUGGGGUUUGUGGUGUGGGGGUGAUGGGCAUGGGACAUUAGUGGAACUAACCAUAGUGAAAAAAAGAAUGUUCAAUGUGAGAACAAGGGCAAUUGAGGAUGCACCAAACUUAGCCAUUUUUUUCAAAGAUAAGAAUUAUUAGCACUCUCAACUAUUGAAUGUGGCUAAUUAGUAGUGAGAAU